rnacentral:rRNA from 1 species
UACGGAGGGGGCUAGCGUUGUUCGGAAUUACUGGGCGUAAAGCGCGCGUAGGCGGCUUUGUAAGUUAGAGGUGAAAGCCCGGAGCUCAACUCCGGAAUUGCCUUUAAGACUGCAUCGCUAGAAUCAUGGAGAGGUGAGUGGAAUUCCGAGUGUAGAGGUGAAAUUCGUAGAUAUUCGGAAGAACACCGGUGGCGAAGGCGCCUACCUGGACGACAACUGACGCUGAGACGCGAAAGCGUGGGUAGCAAACAGG